rnacentral:rRNA from 1 species
GACGAACGCUGGCGGCGUGCCUAAUACAUGCAAGUCGAGCGGACGGAUGGGAGCUUGCUCCCAGACCGUCAGCGGCGGACGGGUGAGUAACACGUGGGCAACCUGCCUGUAAGACUGGGAUAACUCCGGGAAACCGGGGCUAAUACCGGAUAACUCUUUCCCUCACAUGAGGGAAAGCUGAAAGAUGGCAUCUCGCUAUCACUUACAGAUGGGCCCGCGGCGCAUUAGCUAGUUGGUGAGGUAACGGCUCACCAAGGCGACGAUGCGUAGCCGACCUGAGAGGGUGAUCGGCCACACUGGGACUGAGACACGGCCCAGACUCCUACGGGAGGCAGCAGUAGGGAAUCUUCCGCAAUGGACGAAAGUCUGACGGAGCAACGCCGCGUGAGUGAUGAAGGUUUUCGGAUCGUAUAACUCUGUUGUCAGGGAAGAACAAGUACCGGAGUAACUGCCGGUACCUUGACGGUACCUGACCAGAAAGCCACGGCUAACUACGUG